AGAUGGACCUCGGUCCUCUAAACAACUUGGAUGUUAUCUAUACUAUGUCCAUGUAAUACUGGUUGUAUCCAAUUAUCUUUGUGUAGUUAUAAUUAAUAUGGGGUUUACAUGUAGACUUCAGGUCACGAACCCCAUAACCAUAUUAAGUUAGGGGAAAUCUAUCUGACCGGCCGAUGCACAUCAUGAGCAUAUAAAAGAGAAGCCUUCCAUUGAAACUAUUGUCAUUCCUACCCGUCUGCGAACGGACACUACCUACACAUACCUGCACCAAUAAACAGAGGAACCUCAA